rnacentral:pre_miRNA from 1 species
UAUUUACUCCCUCCGUCCGAGAAAACUUGUCCCAAGCUUGUUCCUCAAAUAGAUGUAUCUAGCACUAACUUGGUGCUAGAUACAUUCAUUUGAGGGACAAGUUUUUCCGGACGGAGGAAGUAUUUA